GUCAGGACACGCUCCAGGAGGUGGGUACUGAGCUCCAAGCCCCUGAACCAGCCGGUGGGGUCGCUGAAAGCAGGAUGCCCUCAGAUGUCAGCUGGGACACAGAGUCAUGACGCGGCUCCAUCUGUCUGCAUGGAGUCUGUGUUCAGGUUCUUCUCCAAAACGCUGAGUCCUAAACCACCCACCACCUUCAGUAUGGUGACCCGCAGCAGGGGCACAGUGGGACAGAGCAGACCUCACAACGGGAGAGGCAUCGCCAGGCCUUACUGACAGCACCAGUGGGACAGAUCAGACCUCACAACGGGAGAGGCAUCGCCAGGCCUUACUGACAGCACCAGUGAAGUACAGGAAUACAGUGGGAAUUGAGUAUUUAUCUUACGGUCAGAAAGACGUGUCUAAUUCACGUGAAUACAUUUUACUGGACUCUGGAUGAGGUCAUCCUAAAUAUUUAGUUUCAUUUUGUUAAGACACUCCAGGUCAUCCUAAAUAUUUAGUUUCAUUUUGUUAAGACACUCCAGGUCAUCCUAAAUAUUUAGUUUCAUUUUGUUAAGACACUCCAGGUCAUCCUAAAUAUUUAGUUUCAUUUUGUUAAGACACUCCAGGUCAUCCUAAAUAUUUAGUUUCAUUUUGUUAAGACACUCCAGGUCAUCCUAAAUAUUUAGUUUCAUUUUGUUAAGACACUCCAGGUCAUCCUAAAUAUUUAGUUUCAUUUUGUUAAGACACUCCAGGGUCGGACUUGUCGACAGCAGAUUGUGGAUAAAUACUUUUUUUCAUCUUACUAUCUGUAAAAGACAUUUAUGAAGACAUUUAUGUAAAAUGCAUUUUUUUUGGCACAUUUUUACAAAUAAAAUGUUAUCUAGAAUAAAAAAUGUACAGCAUUA